rnacentral:rRNA from 1 species
GAUUAAGUUAUUAAGGGCGCACGGUGGAUGCCUUGGCACUAGAAGCCGAUGAAGGACGUUACUAACGACGAUAUGCUUUGGGAAGCUGUAAGUAAGCUUUGAUCCAGAGAUUUCCGAAUGGGGAAACCCAGCAUGAGUUAUGUCAUGUUAUCGAUAUGUGAAUACAUAGCAUAUCAGAAGGCACACCCGGAGAACUGAAACAUCUUAGUAACCGGAGGAAGAGAAAGAAAAUUCGAUUCCCUUAGUAGCGGCGAGCGAAACGGGAAGAGCCCAAACCAACAAGCUUGCUUGUUGGGGUUGUAGGACACUCUAUACGGAGUUACAAAGGACGACAUUAGACGAAUCAUCUGGAAAGAUGAAUCAAAGAAGGUAAUAAUCCUGUAGUCGAAAAUGUUGUCUCUCUUGAGUGGAUCCUGAGUACGACGGAGCACGUGAAAUUCCGUCGGAAUCUGGGAGGACCAUCUCCUAAGGCUAAAUACUCUCUAGUGACCGAUAGUGAACCAGUACCGUGAGGGAAAGGUGAAAAGCACCCCGGAAGGGGAGUGAAAUAGAACCUGAAACCGUGUGCUUACAAGUAGUCAGAGCCCGUUAAUGGGUGAUGGCGUGCCUUUUGUAGAAUGAACCGGCGAGUUACGAUUUGAUGCAAGGUUAAGCAGUAAAUGUGGAGCCGUAGCGAAAGCGAGUCUGAAUAGGGCGUUUAGUAUUUGGUCGUAGACCCGAAACCAGGUGAUCUACCCUUGGUCAGGUUGAAGUUCAGGUAACACUGAAUGGAGGACCGAACCGACUUACGUUGAAAAGUGAGCGGAUGAACUGAGGGUAGCGGAGAAAUUCCAAUCGAACCUGGAGAUAGCUGGUUCUCUCCGAAAUAGCUUUAGGGCUAGCCUCAAGUGAUGAUUAUUGGAGGUAGAGCACUGUUUGGACGAGGGGCCCCUCUCGGGUUACCGAAUUCAGACAAACUCCGAAUGCCAAUUAAUUUAACUUGGGAGUCAGAACAUGGGUGAUAAGGUCCGUGUUCGAAAGGGAAACAGCCCAGACCACCAGCUAAGGUCCCAAAAUAUAUGUUAAGUGGAAAAGGAUGUGGCGUUGCCCAGACAACUAGGAUGUUGGCUUAGAAGCAGCCAUCAUUUAAAGAGUGCGUAAUAGCUCACUAGUCGAGUGACACUGCGCCGAAAAUGUACCGGGGCUAAACAUAUUACCGAAGCUGUGGAUUGUCCUUUGGACAAUGGUAGGAGAGCGUUCUAAGGGCGUUGAAGCAUGAUCGUAAGGACAUGUGGAGCGCUUAGAAGUGAGAAUGCCGGUGUGAGUAGCGAAAGACGGGUGAGAAUCCCGUCCACCGAUUGACUAAGGUUUCCAGAGGAAGGCUCGUCCGCUCUGGGUUAGUCGGGUCCUAAGCUGAGGCCGACAGGCGUAGGCGAUGGAUAACAGGUUGAUAUUCCUGUACCACCUAUAAUCGUUUUAAUCGAUGGGGGGACGCAGUAGGAUAGGCGAAGCGUGCGAUUGGAUUGCACGUCUAAGCAGUAAGGCUGAGUAUUAGGCAAAUCCGGUACUCGUUAAGGCUGAGCUGUGAUGGGGAGAAGACAUUGUGUCUUCGAGUCGUUGAUUUCACACUGCCGAGAAAAGCCUCUAGAUAGAAAAUAGGUGCCCGUACCGCAAACCGACACAGGUAGUCAAGAUGAGAAUUCUAAGGUGAGCGAGCGAACUCUCGUUAAGGAACUCGGCAAAAUGACCCCGUAACUUCGGGAGAAGGGGUGCUCUUUAGGGUUAACGCCCAGAAGAGCCGCAGUGAAUAGGCCCAAGCGACUGUUUAUCAAAAACACAGGUCUCUGCUAAACCGUAAGGUGAUGUAUAGGGGCUGACGCCUGCCCGGUGCUGGAAGGUUAAGAGGAGUGGUUAGCUUCUGCGAAGCUACGAAUCGAAGCCCCAGUAAACGGCGGCCGUAACUAUAACGGUCCUAAGGUAGCGAAAUUCCUUGUCGGGUAAGUUCCGACCCGCACGAAAGGCGUAACGAUUUGGGCACUGUCUCAACGAGAGACUCGGUGAAAUCAUAGUACCUGUGAAGAUGCAGGUUACCCGCGACAGGACGGAAAGACCCCGUGGAGCUUUACUGUAGCCUGAUAUUGAAAUUCGGCACAGCUUGUACAGGAUAGGUAGGAGCCUUUGAAACGUGAGCGCUAGCUUACGUGGAGGCGCUGGUGGGAUACUACCCUAGCUGUGUUGGCUUUCUAACCCGCACCACUUAUCGUGGUGGGAGACAGUGUCAGGCGGGCAGUUUGACUGGGGCGGUCGCCUCCUAAAAGGUAACGGAGGCGCUCAAAGGUUCCCUCAGAAUGGUUGGAAAUCAUUCAUAGAGUGUAAAGGCAUAAGGGAGCUUGACUGCGAGACCUACAAGUCGAGCAGGGUCGAAAGACGGACUUAGUGAUCCGGUGGUUCCGCAUGGAAGGGCCAUCGCUCAACGGAUAAAAGCUACCCCGGGGAUAACAGGCUUAUCUCCCCCAAGAGUUCACAUCGACGGGGAGGUUUGGCACCUCGAUGUCGGCUCAUCGCAUCCUGGGGCUGUAGUCGGUCCCAAGGGUUGGGCUGUUCGCCCAUUAAAGCGGUACGCGAGCUGGGUUCAGAACGUCGUGAGACAGUUCGGUCCCUAUCCGUCGUGGGCGUAGGAAAUUUGAGAGGAGCUGUCCUUAGUACGAGAGGACCGGGAUGGACAUACCUCUGGUGUACCAGUUGUCGUGCCAACGGCAUAGCUGGGUAGCUAUGUGUGGACGGGAUAAGUGCUGAAAGCAUCUAAGCAUGAAGCCCCCCUCAAGAUGAGAUUUCCCAACUUCGGCUAUAAGAUCCCUCAAAGAUGAUGAGGUUAAUAGGUUCGAGGUGGAAGCAUGGUGACAUGUGGAGCUGACGAAUACUAAUCGAUCGAAGACUUAAUCAA